ensembl:misc_RNA
CUGAUGGUCCUGAAGACUGAGAUCCUCUAUUUAUCCACAUCUAGUGGAAAGGCCAAUCUUCCCAGUGCUGCCCUGUCAAAGAGCCUCAUUGCUGAGCUAGAGGGACCACUAUUAAGGGUGAGAAGAGAGUUCAGUUUCCAUGGCCCAUUCUUUCUUUGGCCUCU